rnacentral:lncRNA from 1 species
GUUCUAAACAAAAGUCAAGAAAGGAGUUUGCCUUCAUUUGCAGCAAUUAAUGUUUGAAAGUGAAGAAUUAUGUAUUUGUUAGUGCUGUUUUGUUAAAUCUCUGCCCCCACCUUUAAAUCCAAUUCUGAUAGAACCCAAAGAGUAAAUGUCUAUUUUGGAAUUGGUGAGCAUGAGAGUGACAGAUGGUCUCAUGGGUUGAUGACUAAAGGGGACAGAGUGAGAAGAUGUCUAAUGGAAGAAAUGACCUUUGGUGAUGCCAUUAAAUCAUCCUUUGUACUAAACAUAAAUUAUUAAUAGUUUUAAAAAAAUAAUUAUCUGUUUUCUUUUGAGGUUGGGGAGAGUGAAAGGGAGCUAGGAAAAGGAAAAAGGGCGGGACAUUGCCUUUUCAACACAUCCCUUAACCUAAGUUGAGCACAUCCCCCCCCACCCCAGGAGUAUCUUAUCAAGAUAAUAUUAAUAUAUUUACUCACAUAAAGGCCACCUUCACAUAACAGUUGCACCUGGACCAUAAGUCUGUUAUCCAAUGGCCAAUGCAAUCAUUACUGUAUCUUCAGAUGGCUCAUGCAUUUUACAUAUGACAAAAUUGAUGCUCCAAAUAUGGCCAAUAUACAGGUGAAUAGGGCAUAUCCAAGUGUUUUCUUCCUCAUUAUAGGAAAAGUGCUUAAGAAACAUAACCUCAAGGAAGAGGCAGGAAACACAUUUUUACUAAAAAAUCUCAGUUUUGAAUUUGAAAUAAGCUACUUUGGAAUCCAAAGGAUGGGAAAGAGGCAGGUUCUGAACUUUUCAGAGAAUUGGAAAGAACACAUAAGCAUCAUAGAGGAAUAUUUCCUAAUUACACACAAGAACUUAGGUAUAUAACUUGAAAUGAAAAUAAAUCAGGUAAAAUCCAGUUGAGCAUUCCACAUCUCUAAUGCUACCCAUAUUUCCAAAAGAUCUCUCAGCCAUAGUUAAAUAAGAUUGUACACAUUGCUCAACCUUUCUCUAAACCAACUUGCAUUUGGGGCAUAUUUAUGUGCAGGUGGGUUUGACUUGGUUUCAAAAACAUACACACACACGCACACACACAUACACACACACUCAUGUACAUACCCUUUACAUAUCAUUUCUUAGUAAGUUUCUUAAUGCAAAUAAUCCCUCUAAAGACCAAUAAAUUGUACAAAUAUUGAAAAACACACAUACAGAUACAUACAUACUAACACACACAUACAUACCUAGUCAGAUGCUAACAGGUAUCUUAAAAUAUAUUUAGUACAGAAAACGUGGGGGUGGUGAUUGGUUUUUAACAGCACCUAAACUUCAUUCCCAAAAUUGCUUUUUGAGUACAUACUAAUCUCCUAGUGCAUUGAAGCAGGUACCAGCUGAUUUUUCAGAUAUUGAAACACUUAUGCACAAGGCUGAAUAAAGAUACAGGACAUGUAAUGUCCAGUAGGAAACAAAUCAGUGUACAUCAUUUACAUGGCAAUAAAUCCUUCAUUUCUUCUGAAAUAAGGUAUGUAAAGUAGUACUUAGUUUAACACAAGUUUUUGUUCUGUACUAAGUCUAUCUGUAAAAAGCCACUCAUGCAAAAAAUUACCUCCAGAUUUGGCUGGGUUUUUAAAGGACACUUCUCCUGAAAAUGAGUCCCUUUCACAUAGGGAAAAAAAAGAAAACAUACACUUCUGGCAGCUAAUUCCAGCUGUCAGUGGAAAAUUUGAGACUUUGGUGUUUAUAAGGUAUAUGCUAUAGGGAACCUGAAAUAAGUACUUAGCUGACCUAUAAAAGAUCAGAGGGUUAAAACAGCCCUAGGAAGCUUCAGGACUUUUCCUCAAUACUGAAUGUAUUUGGAGGCCUUUAUCCUCCAAUCUAUCCCCUUCCUUAUAUUUCUGCCAUUAUCUUUUCCAUAUUUCAAAUGUUUCUUGCUCUGUUUCUCAAUGUCAAUCUCAGUUACCUGAAACUUCCUUGCCACCUGUUCUUUAAGUCAAUUACUAUCCUGUUGAAAACAUUUUCCUCUUUAUCCCUAUAACAUUUUUCCUCCUAAGAUUCACACCCUAAUUUUCUAUCAAUCAAAACUGUAUGUAUAUAUUUUUGCCUUCAAAAGCCUACAAUUGUUCCUACCUUUAAAUACAAGAACCUCACCUAAUCAAAGAGAUGCUAAUUAGAGACUUCUUUAACCUCUCCUAAACCUUCUCCACUCCACAUGUAAAUAUAUGCACAUAUGCUCCUAUGGAAAAUUUGAUUUGCAUUUAAAUUUCAUCCAAAAUAGCAGGAGAAAAAGAAAGGAUAGUUCCACCCCAGAACUGCAGACUUGGUCUAGAAAUCAGGAUUAUAAAUGAUCAUCAGUUCAUUUUUAGGAUAUAGUUGCUGUCCCCUUUUAUGUUCUACUGAUCCCUACUAUCUUAACAUUACAAAAUGCUACAGCUACUCUAUUGGGAACCAUUCAGAAUAGUAUCUUAUUAGAGAGACAACAGGCAGCCAAGGGGAGAGAGGGAGAGAAUUUGGUGCUUUGUAGGAUUAAAAGACAAUUUCAUUGCAGUUUAUUUGGAAUCUGUGGAGAAAAUGGCUCUUAAGAUGAAAUCUGAGCCAAAUGUCUCCCCUUCCAAGUGAAGAAAUCACACUGACAUGAAUUGAGAAAGACUCUACAUGCUGCAUUUGCAAAGUCAUCAGGGGAAGGUAAUAUGGGCUUUAAGGUGACAUCCAUUUAUUCUUUUGCAUUAUGAUGACUCGAUAGUCCCAAAGUAGAGACAACAUAUAGAAAGAUUUGGUUGUUCUUACUUUUUCAAUAUAUCCUAUAACUAUGUCAUUGUAGAAAUGGUAAGAAAAAAUUAGUAAUGAUUUCAUAAAAAAAUUCUUAUAUUGAAAAGUAUUUAGAGCAAGACUAUGACUAACUAGACUCAAAACAAUGAUCCUCUGAUUUCAUCACAAACAUUUUUAUGUUUAUAGAUCAAAACAAUAUUGGAAUAUUGUCAAAUCUCCUAAUAGUUGACCAAAUGGAUAUUGCCUUCAUAGUAUAUUUUUACCUUGUGAAAAAUAUGUGGGAAAGAAAAGUGCACAUAUACAAAUUCUCCAUGUAUGUAUUAUAGAUUUUCCUAAAUUGUGAUCCGCAAGUCAGUUGAGCCUUGUGAGGAGCUCUAAAGACAAAGAGUGCCAAAGUGUGAUCUCAAUUGACCUCUGUCUUUCAGUUCUAUUUUCCCAAGCUCCCAUAACUGAGUAAUCUAAUAGAAACAGCAGAUUAGAAGAGCGAAUAAGAAGCCUAUUAUCUGGUUGCCAGUAAGGUGAGGGUAGAAAACACAGUAUUUCAAGAAGGAAGAUUGCUGUCCUUGGUCCUGAACAUAGACAGCCAUGACUCAUAAGCAGUAUUCACCAUUCUGGAAUGGAAAAGUCUAAUCUAUCACAUGGAAAAUUGUCAGCAAUUCAGAUUCUUGGUGGUGAACUUCAAGACAUUUGUUUCAAUGCCCACUUUUUUAUACUGAUUCAGGCAAAAACUGGUCACUGAAGUGUGAGGGACUUUAUGCAGAAACCAUGUUUUCUCCUUGGGCUAAAGUUAGCAAGAUUCUGACGUUUAUGUGUCAUCAAAACAAUCUCUACACUCAAUUCCCUAAACACUUAUUUCCUGGUUUAGACUAAGUAGUAUCUUGCAUCUUUGGAAAUGAGCAGCCUGCUCUGAUUGAUUAUUCUAAAGAUCAAAGGUAGAACUAAUUUAUAUUUCUAUGACAUAGUUUAGCAAGAAAUUUUUUUAGGAGGGUCAGGGGGGAGAAAUCUAAACAAAAUACUAAUUAAUAUAUAUUUUCUACCUUUCCAGACCUAAUUCAGUAGUUAUAUUUCCAAGAACCUGAGCAGAGCUUUAUUAUGCUCUGGAAUCAUAAAUAAUUCUCUUAUCCACCUGUUCACUUCCAACCAUCUUGAAAUUUGGAAAAGCAAGAUAGAUAUGAAAAUGAAAACUAUUCUUCCCCUGAUUAUGCCAAACUUUGUCAGAGAGACAAUGACCUCUGGAUUUUCUAAGUGAGAACUGUCCUCUUCCAAGUUACUUAGCUUUUGUUACAUUCUGAAACUCCCUGAAACAUUUCUUCCUCCAAAACAUAGAACUAAUCAAGCAGGCAACUUGACACUACAGUGAAAUAGCAGCAGGGUAUAUGUCACUGAUGAUUACCUCCAUUCUCCACUGGCUUGGGUGAGCAGUUGUUUUGUACUACCAACUUGGAGCAAUCUUAUCUGGCCUUGCAAAUGGAACAACCUGCUGGCCUCCAAGAAAUGCUAAAUUCUCAGCCAGAACAAGAAAAAAGUGUCAAAACAAGUUUUCCUUGUUCCUGUUAAAAUAUUUUCUCACAUUUGCCAUAAUCUCCUAGUUCUUUCUCCAGUGAUACCAUUGAAAUUUCUAAGUAAUCAGUCUUGUUACUAGGAAAUCAUACACUGAGGCAGAUUGUCCUAGGCAAGCCUUUGCUUUAUUUUGAAGAUUAUCUUUUCAAGAUUUACAGAAUGAAUAUAAAAUAUCUUUCUGAACUAGCUGGGAUUCUAAAAUUCUAUACCCUUAUUUUAAAAAUCUUAGUUAUAAUUAAUUUGGAUUCCUUUUUUCAAAUGAUUGAUUUUUUUAAUGAUAGAUUCUUUGGGAAAAUAACCUAUAGAAUCUUUGGGACCUAAGUGCCAUUUUCCAACCAAAAAACUAACCAAGAUCAAUGUAUCAUAGUUGGAGAUCUAAAAGGUUAUUAAAUUUGGGUCAAGUGGAAUUUAAACAAGUGAAUGGAUUACUUCCUCAUUUCUACCUAGAAUAGUCAAUGGUCCAAUUCAUGCAAUACUCCAAAGGACCUAAUUAAUCUAUUUAAUCACAUCUCACCAUCCAAUUUUUUUUCUUUUUCCUAACAAUAUAAUUUUAUUUCUGUAAGACAGUAAUAAUUUGGAGUUGUCUCAAAAAUUACUCAGUGACAUUGCAGACAUCUUGGAUUGCUCAAAGGUCAUUAAUGAUGUCAUAUUUGAAGCUUAGAAAUUGAAAAGAAAUUGUUUUUGAUGAUUUAAUUUCCAACUGUGUACCUGUAGAUGGGCAGUUCACUCACAUAUGAUUAUGAAUGAAUUGGAGAUUUGAUGAUUUUUUUAUAACUAAUAGAAUUAUUUUUUCAGUUUAUUAUGUUUUCCC